rnacentral:rRNA from 1 species
GGAUUAGCGGCGAAUGGGUGAGGAACACGUGAAGAAUCUGCCCUCCACUUUGGGAUAACACCGGGAAACCGGUGCUAAUACCGAAUAUUGAAACAUAAGUGGCAUCACUGAGUUUUGAAAGAAUUUCGGUGGAGGAUGACUUCGCGGCCUAUCAGCUAGUUGGUGAGGUAAUGGCUCACCAAGGCAACGACGGGUAGCCGGCCUGAGAGGGCGACCGGCCACACUGGGACUGAGACACGGCCCAGACUCCUACGGGAGGCAGCAGUGGGGAAUAUUGGGCAAUGGAGGAAACUCUGACCCAGCGACGCCGCGUGCGGGAUGAAGGCCUUCGGGUUGUAAACCGCUUUCAGUAGGGAAGAAGCGAAAGUGACGGUACCUACAAAAGAAGCACCGGCUAACUAUGUGCCAGCAGCCGCGGUAAUACAUAGGGUGCAAGCGUUGUCCGGAAUUAUUGGGCGUAAAGAGCUCGUAGGUCGUUUGUUACGUCGGAUGUGAAAACCUGAGGCUCAACCUCAGGCCUGCAUUCGAUACGGGCAAACUAGAGUUUGGUAGGGGAGACUGGAAUUCCUGGUGUAGCGGUGGAAUGCGCAGAUAUCAGGAGGAACACCAAUGGCGAAGGCAGGUCUCUGGGCCAAUACUGACACUGAGGAGCGAAAGUCUGGGGAGCGAACAGGAUUAGAUACCCUGGUAGUCCAGACCGUAAACGGUGGGCACUAGUUGUGGGAACCUUCCACGGUUUCUGCGACGCAGCUAACGCAUUAAGUGCCCCGCCUGGGGAGUACGAUCGCAAGAUUAAAACUCAAAGGAAUUGAC